GCAAGGUUAAAACUCAAAGAAAUUGACGGGGGCCUGCACAAGCGGUGGAGCAUGUGUUUAAUUCGAAGCAACGCGCAGAACCUUACCAACGUUGNACAUCCCCAGUAUGGUUACCAGAGAUGGUUUCCUUCAGUUCGGCUGGCUGGGUGACAGGUGCUGCAUGGCUGUCGUCAGCUCGUGUCGUGAGAUGUUGGGUUAAGUCCCGCAACGAGCGCAACCCUCGCCUUUAGUUGCCAUCAUUUAGUUGGGCACUCUAAAGGAACCGCCGGUGAUAAGCCGGAGGAAGGUGGGGAUGACGUCAAGUCCUCAUGGCCCUUACGCGUUGGGCUACACACGUGCUACAAUGGCGGUGACAGUGGGCAGCGAACCUGCGAGGGUGAGCUAAUCUCCAAAAGCCGUCUCAGUUCGGAUUGUUCUCUGCAACUCGAGAGCAUGAAGGCGGAAUCGCUAGUAAUCGCGGAUCAGCAUGCCGCGGUGAAUACGUUCCCAGGCCUUGUACACACCGCCCGUCACACCAUGGGAGUUGGAUUCACCCGAAGGCGCUGCGCUAACCGCAAGGAGGCAGGCGACCACGGUGGGUUUAGCGACUGGGGUGAAGUCGUAACAAGUCAGCCGUAGGGGAACCUGCGGCUAGGAUCACCUCCUUGAGCUUGGAUUCCCGGGAAUCGAAUUCCCGCGC
rnacentral:rRNA from 1 species